rnacentral:tRNA from 3 species
GCCCAGGUGGCGGAAUUGGUAGACGCGCUAGCUUCAGGUGCUAGUGUCCUCGCGGGCGUGGAAGUUCGAGUCUUCUCCUGGGCACCA